rnacentral:rRNA from 1 species
AGAGCGAACGCUGGCGGCAGGCCUAACACAUGCAAGUCGAACGGACUCUUCGGAGUUAGUGGCGGACGGGUGAGUAACACGUGGGAACGUGCCUUUAGGUUCGGAAUGGCUCCUGGAAACGGGUGGUAAUACCGAAUGUGCCCUUCGGGGGAAAGAUUUAUCGCCUUUAGAGCGGCCCGCGUCUGAUUAGCUUGUUGGUGAGGUAAUGGCUCACCAAGGCUACGAUCAGUAGCUGGUCUGAGAGGAUGACCAGCCACAUUGGGACUGAGACACGGCCCAAACUCCGUACGGGAGGCAGCGAGGUGGGGAAUCGUUGCGCAAGUGGGCGAAAGCCGUGACGCACGACCAUGGUCGCGUGUAUGAUAGGAGGUCGUAGGUAUUAGUAAAUUACUUCACGGU